rnacentral:lncRNA from 1 species
UCUUGUUCCAAACUGCUACUAUUCCCUCUACCGAUACGAACCCAUUGUUUGCAGCAAUAGAUGCAACUGUUCCAAACAACAAACUCCCCAUUCCCAACUUUCUAUAACUCUCUCUGAAGUAAAGACUCUCAAAAUAAAAUCCAGGCUUGUCAUAGAAGCAUGAAUAAUUAGCGUAAAAGAAAGCAUAUCCCGCUAUGUAAGCAUCACUCUUAUCAUCAUAUUUGGACCUGAACUCCUCAACUUGUCCUUCAACGACAGGGAAUUUAAGGUCGAACGUUGUAAGGACAGGCUUGAACCCUUUGUCCGUGGUAUUUUUGGGUUCGUUAAAAGGGGUUGGAGAGACUUCGAGUAGAAGUACGGAUGGACCGUAGAAAAGUGGAAGAGGGUUUUCUUUAAAGAGCAAGUUAGCUAAGGAGGACUCAGUAGCUUUGUAUAAAUGAGUAUAGUUAUGAUAUUCAUGGAUUUGGUAAAACAAUUGGUAUAUAUGAGAUAGAUCAGAUUUCGUAGCAAGACGAACUCGUGUGUAUAUCUUUCCAGUGAUGGUAACGUUGUUGUUUUCCGAUGAUGAGUUGGUGGUAAUUAUUGCUUCAGAUUGUUGAAGAGCAGGAGCCAUAGUUGUUUAAGGCGAAAGGAGUGAGAUGAAGUAUUUUAGUAAUGGGAUAUUUAUUGUAUGAUGAAAAGAUAUUAGGAUAACAACAUAUUUAUAGUGGAGAAUUUUGUCCCUUUAAAUUUUUUAUAAUUGUUUAUUUGGUUGGUGGACGUCAACUGAAACGUACGUGUUAGAUAAAAGGGUCAGGCAAGUUGCAUCUGAUGAAAUUUCUUUUCUUUUUCCUAUUAAAAUUUGGUGGGAGCCGUAAAUUAAAGUUGACUCAUCUUACAAAUGUAAUCAUUUUAUACUGUAAAAAAAACUAGAAUAAAAAUAUAUCUAAACUAAAUCAUUUAAAAUGGCAAUAAGCUGUUUUCUUUUUAUAAUUUUACCAUAAAAUAGAUACUUAUAUUUUAUGUUCUUUCAUCACUUUUACAGUUUUACUUACGUUAAAAACAUACUAUGAUAUUUCUUUUUUUUUUUUUAAAAAAAAUGAAUGUAAAAGUUCUCAUCUAACGAGAGGACUUUGUCAAAGUUGCCAGUUGCCACUUACGGCGUAACUUCUUAAAGAAAAAUUGACUUUUCUUCCUCCACGUGGUAUAUACUGAGGUCGCAUCAUAAGUAAUUGAAAAUUUUAUUUCGAUGAUUUUGAUUUUUAAUUUUUUAAAAUUAUAUUCACAAUAAUUUAAUUUAAGUUUGAUUUUAAUAUUUUACAAUAUAAUUAUUUAUUCGAUUCACCUUACAUAUUAUAGAUGUAAGUUCAAUUAUAUAUACUUCAGUAUGAUAUGUGUUUUUAUAUAACUAUUAAAUACUGUAUCAAAUAUUAAAGAAAAUGAAAUUUAAUAUUAUACUUCUUCUAUUUUAAUUCGUUGGUCAUAUUUUUCUUUUUAAAUCUGUUUAAAAAAAAAUCUUUGAUUUUUUUUAUCACUCUUUAAUUUUAAUAUUCUACAUGAUAUAUUUUAGAUCGCAUAAUUAUUUUUUAAAAUAUAUUUGACAUAUCUUUAUUUAACACCAUAAAAUUCAAUUUUUUUUUAAUCUUUUACUCUUUCUUUUUAACUUUCUAUCAAAUUAAAACAUGAGAAACAAACUGAAACAAACACACGACCAAAUAUCACAAAUAUAAUAACAAAAUUGAGAUAUUAAAAUUUCAAUAUAAUAAUUAGAUAGCUAUUGUACCAUUUUCAUCCCAAUAUAAUAUUGAAGAAUGGCAUAUAAUAUUACCCUUAUUUAGAAGUGGCACUUCUAAAAGGGACCAAACACAGCAACAAAUACUUGUACAAAAAGUAAUAUUUAUUGUACCAUAAUUUGAUGUCAAGUCAUUGUCUUAUUGGUGAAUAGUACCACUUUUCCGGUAAUGUUAACACGUAUUGAGCCUUUGUUAUUUUCCUUUCUAGGCUGACACAUAUUUACUUUUAAAAUCCGGGUAAUUGGGUCAAUUUGGAUCAAUUUUGGGGAUUCCGUCUAAAUGAGGGGUAAUUUUGGUGAAAUUAGUAACGGGAGGGGUACGAUUAACUUCAUUUUAACGGCGAGGGUAAAGUCAAACAAUAAACCAAAGUUGGGGGGUAUUUUUGACCCCUUUCCCUUGAUUUUUUUCUCACAAAAUUUCAAAUAUCUCACUAUUUGCUUUUUAAAAAAUAAAUUUUCAAUUUUGGCUCGACUGGCUUUCAAAUCUCCUACUCUGAUUAUUCACACCUACACUAAUUUUAUUUACUUUCAAAUAUUUUACCAAUAUUUAGAAAUGACAGUUGUUGGGACGAACACAACAUUAAAAAAUUGUACCGAAAGCUAUCCAAAUUGAACACAACACUAAUUGGUUGUACGAACAGCAAUUUAAUUACAAGUGGGCUCCAUUUCAUUGCUAAUUGAGCUUUAUGGUCUUUUCUUUUCUCCUUAUAUAAAAGAGACACUUUCAAGUUUCAACAUGUUAGCUUAAUGUCAAAUAAUUUAAAAAUAAGGAUAUUUCAAUCAUUUAGGUCUAUGAAAAAGCUGAUGUAUGAAAACUACGUGUCUUUCUUCUAUAAAAGGUUAAGGGCAAAUUGGUCACUGAACCAUAUUAUAUGUGGCAACUUAAUAGCCUAAAGUCCUUUGUGUCCAUUAAUAUUGCUCCACCUGCUAGCCAACAUUUAAGUCAUCUCUGUCUUCUUUCUUUUCUCUCUUGACUAUUAGAAUUAGAAUUAGAAUAGUUGUUGCAAAAAUUCGAGGUUGUGAUGAUGAUUUUCUUCUUUGUUUUCUCCGAGAUUGAGAAAAUUGAUAGUGUAAGAGAGCAAUCGGACCCGUAUCUUGGUGGGGCAACCCGGAUGGAAGGUUAUCCUGCAACCGGUGCUUGCAGUUAUGGCGGUGAUUCCAAUCUCUCUUAUCGUAUUACAAAUCCGAGCUUCAAUGUUUAGAUUUCUUAGGGUCUAUUGAAAAUCGCCUCUUUACCUCCACAAGAUAGAGGUGAGACUACACUGACUUAUUGUUGUUGCAGUUGGAAAAUUCGCAGUUCAAAAAAAUACAACAGAAUUUCUCAUAAAAGUAGCCUUAAGAAUUCAACUACUUCAAUACCAUGCCAUAACAUGACAUUUUAAAUUAUUUGUGUGUUUGCAUGUUUUUGGGAUUUAAUUUUAAUUUUAAUUUUAUUGUUUUUGUUAUUUGUUGAAUCCAAAUAUGAUUCUUUUGAUAUUUGGAAUAGACACAUAACAGUGCUUUAGGUUUAAUCCAUCUCUCGCGUAUGGCAGUAUGUACCUUUUAGUAGACAGAAAGAGCAAACUCAAGUUGCACGGUAAGGUAAGUAUUCAUUUUCACUAUUAGCCUUUUGUUUCUUGGUUCAUUUUGUUGACCGGCUCUAUUCUUCCGAAAAUUUGUUUUGACAUUCAAAAAUCGACUUGACCAUGAAAUCAGUAGACAAUGAAGAAGAAACAGAGCAAGUAGUUUUAGAGCUCUUUAUGUGUGUCGUGGUGUUGUAUCAGGUAAAUUAUUAUAUCGUAUUUUUAUUAUCAUUUUUUGGUUAUCUCUAUUAUUUUUAUUUUUUAUUUUUUUUGGGUUCUACGUUGAGAUUUCUCUGCAUCCAAAGAAGACCCCAAUUCGAUUCUUCUAAUUCUAGGCAGAUUAGGUUGAUUUACUACAUUUGUAGAAUUUGACUCUUUGUUGAAUCCACUAAUUUGGGGGUUAAAAAUCUGGUAGCUCACUAGAUUUGCUUAACUGUUUAUUUACACAUAUUGCUCGAAUGUUAACCUGCUCCCUUUUUUCCUUCACUUUGCACUUUGAAAAUAUUUGUUGUCUAUGUCUUUUGCAUCUUUGUUGUUUCAAAUACAAGUAACUAACAACUAAUCAUUACUUUAUAAUUGUACAGGUAUUCCAUUUCAAGUUCAUAAGGAAGCUACAAGAGUCUAAUUUAUGAAUAGUUACCUUGUGUGUGAUGUUAAAGAGUGUAUUUUAGCAUUUUUAUCAAUAUAAAAAUGAAGUCAUGGACAUUGUUCCAAAAUGUCUAUGAAUUAUGUCUUGAGUUGCUUUUCAAGGAGUAAAGUGUGAGAAAGUAUUGUUUAAUGAAGAAGUUAAAUAGGUGCAAUUCAAUUUUGAGACCAAGUGUUGAGUUGGUCUUUCACAUUAAACUUGAGAAAAAAAAGGAACUAACUUCAGUAAAUGCAUAUUAGUACUAUAGGAUCUUACUCAUUCAUGAUGGCUUUCUUUUGUUACUUAAUUGUAAUUUUCCAAAACCUGUUUUGCUUGAACAGGGUUCAUCGUUUAGGGAAAUAUCAUAUUCGAAAAUAUUUUGCCACGAAUUGACAGGUUUGUUUAUUUGGUUCUUAUAAACUUUUGUAAAUUCUUCCAUACCUCCGUUUUACUUUUUAUUAUUGCGUGAAUCUGCGAAAGUUUUUGAUGUCUUUUAGUGCUAUGAAAGAAAGUCACUUUGAUAAUAGAAGUAUAGUAGGAUUUAUAAAUACUAGGAUUAGUCUAAUAACCUCUAGAAUUCAAAUUUUCGCUAAUGUUUGAGUAUAUUUAUAGUGAGGGACGUUCAUGUCACGAGUUUCAACUCUGACGUCGACCCAAAGUUGGGGAAAGUAUUUAAGUGGAAACAUAACGGAGGGGCAUGUGCAUACUCUUCAGUAUUUCUGAUGAACAAUGAGGUUUGACUAGCUAACUAGAAGGGAAUUUUUCAACUAUUAAAUAAGACUGAGUCUUUUCUCGACUAAAAGGAUGUCUUUUAGUUUUAAACCAUAUACUUCUAUUGUUUUCUCCUUAGAGUUGUUGACCUCAUCCAAUCCUUGUCAUUUUGAUCAAUGUAUUUUGUUCCGCUAGAUUGUUGGACAGAUUGCAGGAGAAACAACACAGUAAAUUGGAUAAUGAAGCUUAUUUGGAUGAGAAUCACAUGCUAUUUAAAAAUAUCCAGUUCCUUGUCGAAGUAUUGCACCCUCUACUCUAUUUUAUUUCGUAUGAAAUCUCUUCUAAUUGCUGAUUUCUACACUUCACAAUCGCACACAUGGGCACAUUGGAUGAUUCUUUUGACGAUCCUUCAUAAUGUGGCAUUUUUAUUCAAGUUGAAAGAAGAGGUAAAGAAGCUUCAAUCAAUCCAGCAAGCUAAAAAUGGCGUUGACAUAGUCUCUGAGAUAAGGGUGAAGACUCAUUAUGCUACACCAAUUGGUGCUGAUCAAAGAAUUGGCCAGUGCUUAUCUAGCAUCUUUAAUUAUUAUUCAUUCUUGUUAAUGAUGAGGUUUAGUUUUGAGGUUUAUUGAAAAAUCAAGGUAAGGUCUACCUACAUUCUACCUUGAUGAGAUCCCACUUGUGGGAUCAAACUAGGUAUGUUGUUGUUAUCGUCGUCAAAUUAGUAAUGUUUUGCUCCAUUUUUCAGAUUCUUAUAUUUGAAUUUGUGCAUAUGAUGUGUCUUUUACUGUAGUCUACAAAGGAGAUCGAAUUGCCACAUACUUUGUUAAGUGGUUGGGGAAGAGUACUAUUGGUUUGUCAUAUGGAUUGGCCCUGAGUGAGGCUUUGAUUGCACCUGCAAUGUCUAGCACUACGGCAAGAGCUGGUGGGGUAUUUUUGCCUAUUAUUAAGUCUCUCACUUUCAGCUGGAAGUAAGCGUGGUGAUCCCUCCUCCAGGAAGCUAGGAUCUUACUUGAUUCAAUCUCAAUUUCAGGUAUGCCUUUGUUUUGCCUGCUAUAGAUGUGUGGUGUGUCACAUAAUUAGAUGAUUUUAAUGAAAUGAAAACACUCUUUAUGGAUACAUGAAUUAGUACUAACCAAAUGAUCCUAUUAAUCAAGAAUUCAAUCUAUAUACACCAAUGGUGAAAAUAGGUUUUGAGCCAUUGAGGUAACAUUAAGUUUGUAACCUGGAAAAUAAGGUUAUUAGCAUGCUAAAAUAGGUUAAGCUAUUAAGUUAUAUCCAUAGGGUAAUUUUUGAGUGAUCUUUGUCUGAAGACUGAUAUUUAUCUUGAAUUUGCAACAGAAGACAUUAUGCAUUUGAUCAAGUAUUACUAUCUUUUCGGUUGUGCAUCUGUCUCUUUGAAGAAUACAUAACAUAAAUGGGGUAUGGAAUGAUGUCAGCUAUAUGAAGCUCUUAACCUGCAAAUUCAUUGCUGAGAACUCAAAUCUAUCUAGAAUUGCUUUAAUAGCUUCCAUAACUAAAAGGGAUAAAAAUGAAUUGUUUGGUUGUUGAAAAUAGCUUUUACCUGUCAGCACUUUAAUAAUUUUUUUUUUCUUUAAAAGCAAUGAAAAACAACUUUAUCACAUGUUGUUUUGUAUUUUUAAAUUAAAAUUAGCUAUAUGUUAAAAAUAGAUGUAAAAAAUAUGUGUGGAAAUAUAAUCCUCUAGCCUUUUGAUAUUCUCAACUCUCAAGUGUAUAAAAGAUCUUGAUUCUGGAGAAGAACAAAGGGGAUGUAGAGGCAUUUCGAUAUUGUUGUGGUGAUUCCGAACAUUUUCAACAUGUAGGUUGAAAAAUCUAAUGCGAAGUCUCUGCUGACCAAACUGUCUAGAAUAUAUGUGCAUUCUUCCUGCUUAUCGAGUUCUUGGUUACAUUGCUUGGCUGAUUAUCCCUUGUGCAAUAGACAUAAUAUAUAUGUUGAUAUUCUAUCUGUUGUUGUUAUAUAUAUAUAUAUAUAGAUAGAUAGAUAGAUAGAUAGAUAGAUAGAUAGAUAGAUAGAGAGAGAGAGGGAGAGGGAGAGGGAGAGGGAGAGGGAGAGGGAGAGGGAGAGGAAGAGGGGGAGGGAGAGAGAGAGGGAGAGAGGGGGAGAGAGAGAGGGAGGGAGAGGGAAAGGGAGGGAGAGGGAGAGGGGGAGAGAGAGAGGGAGGGAGGGAUGGAGGGAGGGAGGGAUGGAGGGAGGGAGGGAUGGAGGGAGGGAGGGAUGGAGGGAGGGAGGGAUGGAGGGAGGGAGGGAUGGAGGGAGGGAGGGAUGGAGGGAGGGAGGGAUGGAGGGAGGGAGGGAUGGAGGGAGGGAGGGAUGGAGGGAGGGAGGGAUGGAGGGAGGGAGGGAUGGAGGGAGGGAGGGAUGGAGGGAGGGAGGGAUGGAGGGAGGGAGGGAUGGAGGGAGGGAGGGAUGGAGGGAGGGAGGGAUGGAGGGAGGGAGGGAUGGAGGGAGGGAGGGAUGGAGGGAGGGAGGGAUGGAGGGAGGGAGGGAUGGAGGGAGGGAGGGAUGGAGGGAGGGAGGGAUGGAGGGAGGGAGGGAUGGAGGGAGGGAGGGAUGGAGGGAGGGAGGGAUGGAGGGAGGGAGGGAUGGAGGGAGGGAGGGAUGGAGGGAGGGAGGGAUGGAGGGAGGGAGGGAUGGAGGGAGGGAGGGAUGGAGGGAGGGAGGGAUGGAGGGAGGGAGGGAUGGAGGGAGGGAGGGAUGGAGGGAGGGAGGGAUGGAGGGAGGGAGGGAUGGAGGGAGGGAGGGAUGGAGGGAGGGAGGGAGAGGCUUCAAUAAAUUUUAACAUGUGUGCUUAUUUGUUGUUCAAUUGGAAAAUAAGGGUAGGUGUAUAAGCCAACUAAACCAGAGAGCACGUAGUGGAGGCCUAUGUUUCUAUCCCUUGCAAAAGCUAAGGAAUACAUGUAGUGGAGGCCUAUAUUUCUAUUCCCCGCAAAAGAUAAGGGAAACAUCUCUUAACUUGUUAGCAUGGACGCCGAUGUACUUGAAAAUAUGAUCUGCAAGGAGGCCAGAAAGAGAGAGUCGCUGCAAUUGCUUGCAUUGUUGCAAAUGGCCCCAAAACCAGCAUCAACUACAUGUAUUGCAAAUGACUUAAUACAGUAACUGCAUUUGUAAAAAAAUUGAGAAUAUCUCUUGUUAAAUUUUGCAUUUUUCUUUGUAGAUUACCCUUUUCCGAGUACUUGUGUCCUUAGAGGUGCAAAAAAGCUUUAAUCUUUGCAUCUGAAUGUGACAACCCUGAUUACCUAACCCUUGGACUGCUUGACACUGGUUUUGGGGCCAUCAUUCACCAUUGCAGGCAAUUGUGACGAUUUCCCCGUUCACGCCUCCACUACGUACUCCUCCAGUUGUGUAAGCCUUUGUAAUCUGGAGAGAAGAGACUGCCCCUUCAGCAACGAGUCUCUGUUGGUCAAUGUUGCAAAGCCGGACACGGUAGGAUAUCUUUAGAUGCCUUGUUGUUCAGUAAUUUAUGGAUCAGAAGUUACCAAGGGUUAAUGUGUGUAAUGUGUACUUUUGCUUUUCUUAAGUGUGUAGUGUGUACUGCUUUCUGUACACGUGUAGCACGAAUUUUAUGUCAAAAAAAAGAAGGAAAUAUCCCAAUUCAUAUUGACUCUCACACCUUCCGCUUUACUCUCCCUCUCUCCAUUGCAAUUUCCAUGGUAGUCAUUAGCGUGUGAAAUUCAACUUUGUACUCCCUUUUAAGAUAUUUUUGCUUAAUUAAUUUAACAAAAAAAUUUGCUCCCGUCAAUACUCUUAUGAAGCAAAUACACUCUUCUUCAACUGUCUAAGAAAUUCUAAUCAUUUGAUCAAUUUCAUUGUUCAUCCUUCUUAAAUUUUCUACUUCAAAUUUCAAGCUUUGCAAGUACUAAAAUGGGUGGACAGAACACACAAAAAAAUGACUUAGGCUUUUGACAUUUUAUUAGGAGCAAUCUCGAUGACAUUCAUACAAAUAGAGAAUCUGUGUUGAUCCUUAUUUCUGGUGCGUGUUUGUUCUAUUCUGGUGUGUUGCCUGGGCCUAUCUUAUUGGCCAUUAAACUUUUUGACCUCUCUUUCAAACUUUGUGAUUUGCAUCACUGAAAGAGGGAGAAAGAGUGUUGCUUCAGGCUUUAAAUGUCGUUUUUCCUUGCUGGUAAAGACGCUCUUUCUCCCUUGCUCUUUCAAUAAUGCGUCUGUCUGUUUUAAUUUGUAUAUUGUAACACCUUCUUGGUGCUUUCGGUUAUGAAUAUAUAUAUAUUCUUUGAAAUACUAAAAUCUAUUUCUGGCUAAUGUAAUGACUUUUUACAGAUAUCUGAUGCCAUCAACGUUUGGCAUUUUAACUUAAGACUAUCUACAUGUUGUAUCCCUAGAUAACUUUUUGCAUUCAUGUAUUUCUGCUGCAAAAUAGAUUCUAGGGUUAAGGUAACUAAUUUUCUAAUGGAUUUUAUAUGUAUCAUUUACCUAAUAUGGAUCUGAAAAGGGGGUUUAUGAGGAUAGAGUGUACGCAGACCUUACCUCUACCUCGAGUAGGUAGGAGACACCAGCUGAGAAAUGUUGUUUCCAACUACAUGGUAUGAAGCUACAAAUAAAGAGUUAAGUUUUAAGCUUCUAAUUAUCUCUACAUUUUUCUAAACAUUCUAACUUAUCUAAUUUUUUGCUUUCUUAUUUUAUAUUUUGUGUUAUAUGUGUACUUAUGACCCUUACAUAUGCCGUGUUUAUUAUGGUAUGUUUACUAUGCUUCAAUUAAAUUAAUAUUUUACCUCUUUGCCGUUCUCUUCUUUUGUUGCAGUGGUGUAAAGAAUAUAGUCAAGAGCGAAAGAAUUUAAUUACCUAAACUUGGUUUUUGUGAUUGUACUGUUGAAAAUAUAUUUAUAUGUAUAAUAGUAGAGUUAUUCAUUUAUUAAUCUCUCAAUAUACAUGCUCCAAUUUCUUGGAUAUGGAAGAAAAAUGGCAUUAGAAUGUACGAUUCUUUAGAAUAUGUAUUCACAAUAGUUCAAUCCUUUGAGCUGCAUGUUGAAUUUUUAGUCCACUGUCUUGGUGGUUCAAUAGCUAAUCCUUGGAAUUCAUCUGAUCCAUAAAUUUGAUUUGGGUAAUAACAUUAGUAUCAUAGUUUGGUAAUCUUUAUUUUUGCAAGUAUAUAGACAUUGUUAACAUAAAAAUGGACCCAUUUGAAUUGGUGGUAAGUGAGUGGAUAUCAAUAUUUUAAGAAAAAAUCAGAAAAUCACCCAAGAAUUAGAUCCAAAAUUGACAACACAUCUACCUCCAAUAGAAAUGAAAAUCAGGGGGAAAAGGGGUGAGAAAAAUAAGAAAAUCAAAAUCUGCAAAAUCAAAACAAAAGAGUGAGAAGAUUAAGAAAACUAAAAACUUAUAAGAAGAAAAGCAAAUAUUUUAAUCUGAAGACCAAAAGACUUACCAGUUUAAACCUUCUCUUGAAAGAGAUUGAAAGAGCUCUAAUUACCCUUAGCCUUAGAUCAGCCCAAAGCAAUCUCAAUUGCUCACACGUGGAAAUAAAAAGCCUUCACUUGUUAAUACCCAAUCAAAUUGAGCCACAAAGGGCCAAAAUUAUGAGGCCUUAUAGUACAACUUAAAAUGCUUUUGAUAUUAUAGUACAACUUGAAAUGCUUUUGCUACCAAACUCUGGAUUGAUUGUUAGAGGUGAACACUUUGCAUAUAAUAUAAAGAAAUAAUUAUUAUAUUAUACAGUUUUGUACAAUAAAUUUUUUAUUAUAGUCAUGUUGGGCCCGUGCGUUGCACGGGCAUCCCCAUCUAGUAAUAUACUACAUAUGCGAGUUGCAUUACCAAUAAAUUAAUACGUACUGAACACGUUUUAACUUUUCUAAAAUCAAAAUUUUAAAGUUUGGUUGUGCAUUUGAACAUAAUUUUUAAAUUUUUAAGAAUAAAAUUUAUAUAUUUGAACAUAAUUUUUAAAUUUUUAAGAAUAAAAUUUAUAUAUUUGAACAUAAUUUUUAAAUUUUUAAGAAUAAAAUUUAUAUAUUUGAACAUAAUUUUUAAAUUUUUAAGAAUAAAAUUUAUAUAUUUGAACAUAAUUUUUAAAUUUUUAAGAAUAAAAUUUAUAUAUUUGAACAUAAUUUUUAAAUUUUUAAGAAUAAAAUUUAUAUAUUUGAACAUAAUUUUUAAAUUUUUAAGAAUAAAAUUUAUAUAUUUGAACAUAAUUUUUAAAUUUUUAAGAAUAAAAUUUAUAUAUUUGAACAUAAUUUUUAAAUUUUUAAGAAUAAAAUUUAUAUAUUUGAACAUAAUUUUUAAAUUUUUAAGAAUAAAAUUUAUAUAUUUGAACAUAAUUUUUAAAUUUUUAAGAAUAAAAUUUAUAUAUUUGAACAUAAUUUUUAAAUUUUUAAGAAUAAAAUUUAUAUAUUUGAACAUAAUUUUUAAAUUUUUAAGAAUAAAAUUUAUAUAUUUGAACAUAAUUUUUAAAUUUUUAAGAAUAAAAUUUAUAUAUUUGAACAUAAUUUUUAAAUUUUUAAGAAUAAAAUUUAUAUAUUCAAAAAUUAUAUAAAAGAUAUUAUAAAUUACAAUAAUUAAUAUUUUAAAAUAUUUUUAAAAGGUAUAUAUAAAAUUAUGAUAAAAAAAUAUUGGAUAACUUGUGCAAAUCUCACUAAUUUAAUUAGAGUACCUAAAUUCAUAUUUUGGGUCUUAGAUAUAUGUAUCUGACUCUUCCAAAUACAUGUAUCAGAGAUACUUCCUUCGUUCCUUUUGGGCCUUAAUAAGGAGUGUUGUUUGACCUGUUAAUUCCAGAAUAAUUAACGUUCUGAGCAAAGUUUUUUAAAAAAAGAUGAUGAAUCCUUUCUUGAUUGUUUAGAUUGAUAACUAUUUUGGAUCAAAUAUUUUUAGUAUACCUGACAACUAAAAAGAAACAGAGGAAGUACAUGUAAGACAUAUACAUAUCAAUUAGUGUGUCUAAUUAAAAUAUCUAAUCGAAAAUCAUCAAUUAAUGACUCUAUAUAAUUAAAGGAUAUAACUGAAAAUCAUAAUUAAGAACGGUAUCUCAAAUUGAAUGAGUUUUUAUUUUCACCCUUAUUGAUCAUUUAAUUAAAAGCUAUGAAUUAAAAUAUUUUUAUCUAUAAUACAUAUAAAUUAAAAAACUUUUGUCUCGCUUGAUGUAAAUUAUAUAAGGGUUAAGUUACGGGCAUAAGUUUUGUAGUGUUUUUUUUUUUUAAUUUUGUUGUAAUAUUCAAAAAUUGAAGUUACAUCUUUUGGACAUAUUUUCUAAAUCUUUAUCAUUUUUAGAGAAAAUAUUUUGAUAAUUAGUAUAAAAUGGUAAAAUAUAUGUGUGAUUUUUUGUGUUUUGAUUUAUUUUUAAAAAAAUAAUUCAUUAUGUUCACUUAGCAUACAACACGACUUGUUAUGUUUUUUAUGUUAUAAUUUAUUAUGCUAUUCAUGAAUUCAUAACUUGUGAGUUAUUGCUCUCCCGUAUAUGACAUAACAAGGUAUGCAUGUCCUUUUCAAUAUAGCUUAUGCCAGAUAAGAACGAUAUUCAUUCUCACUGAUACGAACAUAUAAACUUAUAUCACAAUUUUGAUGUCAAAAAUAUAUUCAAACAUUUAUUUGUUAUUUAAAGUGUGAAAAAAAAUUAAUCUUUGAAAUAAAAAUUAAACAUCAUCCCAAAUUAAUGAAUUUAAGCAAACAAUUAAAUAAGAUAAGAAUAAAUUCAGUGACGGAUCCAGUGACUCAGACAUCAGCAAAAGGAGGCCCUCUUGACCUUUCACCUAAACCCGUGCCGGAAAGGCCCAAUGUCAAUUCCAAAAAAUAGAAAAGCUUCAAAAGGUGUCUUGGUACAGAUAAUCUGCAUCUUUAACGGACAUUGAUUAGAUCAUGAGUAUGCACAACAAAAUACUAUAGCUCUUUUUCUAUGUUUGGAGGUUUCUAUUAUUAUUAGCUCAGAAAAUAAUGUAAAAUGGAAGUAAUCGAAGAUUAAGAGCUUGUUUGGCCAUAAAUAUAUGUGGAAAAAAAAAUCUGAGAAUUAGUGUUUGACCAUAUAUAUAUUUAUCGUUACUUAACAAAUAUAUUUGACAAACAUCUCAAGUUCUAGAAAAAGAAAAUAGAAUUUUGGCUAAAUUCUAGUAUUUGGGAAUUUUAAAUUUUUAAAAUUGCUAAUAUUCUAUAAAUACCCAACAUUUAUAGUUUUGGACUAAAUUUCAUUCCUAGUUUGUUUAUAUACAUAUUUUAUUCAAUUUUAUCCGAGGUCGCUCUUUGAAGUCACUUCCAAUUACAAGUAAUAAUAGUAGUUUUCGAUAUACAAUCAGUGGUAUCGUUCUUGGGAAAAUCGUAUAUAAUAGCAAACUAUUAAUUCAAAUUAAAUGCUAUAAAUAUAGUUUGAUUUAAUUGUACCUCAUAGCAAAAUGUUGUUAUUUCACCUCUCUCCUGGUGAAUCUCGCUCGCCACUCUCGUUCUCUCCCUCGCCUCUCUCGUUUUUUAUACAAACGCAAGUGUAUAAAGUGUGUUUGUGUUUGUAUAAAGCGAGAGAAAAUUGUAUAUAUACAUUCCCCUCUCCCAGAUCUCGCUUGCCACUCUCCCAGAUCUCUCUCUCUCACUCGCCUCUCUCACUUUAUACAAAACGCAAAUGUAUAAAAUGCGUGAAAAUUGUAUAUAUACAUAUAUUUUCGUUCCCCUCUCCCAGAUCUCGCUCUCUCACUUGCCUCUCUCAUUUUAUAUAAAAACGCAAAUGUAUAAAAUGCGUGAAAAUUGUAUAUAUACAUAUAUUUUCGUUCCCCUCUCUCCCCUCUCCCAGAUCUCGCUCGCCACUCUCCCAGAUCUCGCUCUCUCACUCGCCUCUCUCACUUUAUACAAAAACGCAAAUGUAUAAAAUGCGUGAAAAUUGUAUAUAUACAUAUAUUUUCGUUUCCCUCUCUCCCCUCUCCCAGAUCUCGUUCGUCACUCUCCCAGAUCUCACUCUCUCACUCGCCUCUCUCACUUUAUACAAAAAACGCAAAUUGUAUAAAAUGCGUUUGUGUUUGUAUAAAGCGAGAGAAAAUUGUAUAUAUACAUAUAUUUUCGUUUCCCUCUCUCCCCUCUCCCAGAUCUCGUUCGUCACUCUCCCAGAUCUCACUCUCUCACUCGCCUCUCUCACUUUAUACAAUUGAUCUUUUUGUAUAUGUAUACCAAAGCAGAUUAUACAACUGCUUUCUUUUGUAUAUGUAUAACGAAAUAUACAUAUAUAUGUUUGCUAUGGAGCGCAAUUAUGCAAACUUUGCUAUAACAUACAAAUAUGAAUUUUGUGUUUGCUAUAUGUGAAAGUUGCUCAUAUUUCUUUUGUUUUUCUUUCCUCUUUUUUUCAAAUUCAUAUUAAUUAUGUUUGUUGCCAGAGAGAUGAUGUUAUUAUAUGAUAGUCAAUCUAAAAAUUUCAAAUACAAAUUUAAUACACACUGAUGAUGAGCAUCUACUUCUAAAAAAUUACAAAUACAUUAUGAUAAAUUGCACCUUCAAUAUGUAGAGAAUUUUUUUUUUUAACUAUCAGUUUCCUCCAUCAUUUUUGUCCUUGUUAUCAGCAUACUUUUGAAGAUUUUCACCAUGCAAUUUGCCAUAUCUAAACUCAUCAAAAAUUUCAACUCCCAUAUUUAUGUAAAAAUCAUAUGACUUCUUAUUCCAAACUGCUACUAUUCCCUCUACCGAUACGAACCCAUUGUUGGCAGCAAUAGAUGCAACUGUCCCAAACAACAAACUCCCCAUUCCCAACUUUCUAUAAAUCUCUCUGAAGUAAAGACUUUCAAAAUAAAAUCCAGGCUUGUCAUAAAAGCACGAAUAAUUCGCGUAAAAGAAAGCAUAUCCCGCUAUGUAAACAUCACUCUUAUCAUCAUAUUUUGAUUGGAACUCCUCAACUUGUCCUUCCACCACAGGGAAUUUAAGGUCGAACGUUGUAAGGACGGGCUUGAACCCUUCGUCCGUGGUAUUUUUAGGUUCGUUAAAAGGUGUUGGAGAGACUUCGAGUAGAAGUACAGAUGGCCCGUAGAAAAGUGGAAGAGGGUUUUCUUUAAAGAGCAAG